UACGGAGGGUGCAAGCGUUGUCCGGAAUCACUGGGCGUAAAGGGCGCGUAGGCGGCCCGGUAAGUAGGGGGUGAAAUCCUGCGGCUUAACCGCAGGGCUGCCUUCUAAACUGUCGGGCUCGAGCACGGUAGAGGCAGAUGGAAUUCCCGGUGUAGCGGUGGAAUGCGUGGAGAUCGGGAAGAACAUCAGUGGCGAAGGCGGUCUGCUGGGCCGUUGCUGACGCUGAGGCGCGACAGCGUGGGGAGCAAACAGG
rnacentral:rRNA from 1 species